rnacentral:rRNA from 1 species
GUGGGGAAUAUUGGACAAUGGGCGAAAGCCUGAUCCAGCCAUGCCGCGUGUGUGAAGAAGGUCUUCGGAUUGUAAAGCACUUUAAGUUGGGAGGAAGGGUAGUAACCUAAUACGUUGCUACUUUGACGUUACCGACAGAAUAAGCACCGGCUAACUUCGUGCCAGCAGCCGCGGUAAUACGAAGGGUGCAAGCGUUAAUCGGAAUUACUGGGCGUAAAGCGCGCGUAGGUGGUUCAGUAAGUUGGAAGUGAAAUCCCCGGGCUCAACCUGGGAACUGCAUCCAAAACUGGCGAGCUAGAGUACGGUAGAGGGUGGUGGAAUUUCCUGUGUAGCGGUGAAAUGCGUAGAUAUAGGAAGGAACACCAGUGGCGAAGGCGACCACCUGGACUGAUACUGACACUGAGGUGCGAAAGCGUGGGGAGCAAACAGGAUUAGAAACCCCUGUAGUCC